ACGGGGGGGGCAAGCGUUGUUCGGAAUUACUGGGCGUAAAGGGCUCGUAGGCGGCCAACUAAGUCAGACGUGAAAUCCCUCGGCUUAACCUGGGAAUGGCAUUGGAUACUGGCGACCUAGAGUGCGGUAGAGGGUAGCGGAAUUCCCGGUGUAGCAGUGAAAUGCGUAGAUAUCAAGAGGAACACCUGAGGUGAAGACGGGUUGCUGGGCUGACACUGACGCUGAGGCGCGAAAGCUAGGGUAGCAAACGGGA
rnacentral:rRNA from 1 species